UUUCCGUAGGUGAACCUGCGGAAGGAUCAUUACUGAGUGAGGGUCCCUCGGGGUCCAACCUCCCACCCGUGUUUAACGAACCUUGUUGCUUCGGCGGGCCCGCCUCACGGCCGCCGGGGGGCAUCUGCCCCCGGGCCCGCGCCCGCCGAAGCCACCUGUGAACGCUGUCUGAAGUAUGCAGUCUGAGACAAUUAUUAAAUUAAUUAAAACUUUCAACAACGGAUCUCUUGGUUCCG
rnacentral:misc_RNA from 1 species